rnacentral:lncRNA from 1 species
AACCUGACUUUGCAAUUUGCAAUAUAAAUAUAUAUUGCAAAUUGCAUAUAUAUAUGUGUAUAUAUAUAUAUAUAUAUAUACUGAGUUGUGUGUGAUAUAACCUAGAAAGUAAAAACAAAAACAAAAACAAAAAGGCACAGAUGGAUUUAGACAAAGAAUUGAUUCCUAGUCUUCAAAUAAAAGAUACUGUCUGGAACAGGCAGUAAGCCAGCACAAGAUACCUAUGCAUUAUAAGAAAGCCAAGAUUCAGGCUUAUUAAAGGGGACCCCUGGUGACAUAGAAGGCUGAG